AUGCCCGAAAAGCCCCUAUCGGCAUUGAUCGCCAAUAACCUCUCUGUAUCAGUGGCAGUUGGCUCUCUCAGGUACUCAGGCCCGAACACUGCCAUCACGGCCUUGCAGAAACUAUACAUUGAGAGGAGACAUGUGGACUCACUCAUACAUACAUACUCAUCCACAAGAUCACCAGGAAUUUCAUAUGCAAGCAUGCGAAUAGCGUGCAGUGCAUUUCUGGUAAGAAGAGAAGCCAAGCUUGCCAAGGCCAUCCUCUUUGCACUCAAAGUAUGGGUCAUAUGCCACUCCCUCCCGAAUACGAUUGAACACAUGUCUCGCCAUACGGAAGCUGUUUGUGUGAUUUGA
rnacentral:rRNA from 1 species